rnacentral:rRNA from 1 species
ACGGUGAACACGGAGCUUGCUCUGUGGGAUCAGUGGCGAACGGGUGAGUAACACGUGAGCAACCUGCCCCUGACUCUGGGAUAAGCGCUGGAAACGGCGUCUAAUACUGGAUAUGUGACGUGACCGCAUGGUCUGCGUCUGGAAAGAAUUUCGGUUGGGGAUGGGCUCGCGGCCUAUCAGCUUGUUGGUGAGGUAAUGGCUCACCAAGGCGUCGACGGGUAGCCGGCCUGAGAGGGUGACCGGCCACACUGGGACUGAGACACGGCCCAGACUCCUACGGGAGGCAGCAGUGGGGAAUAUUGCACAAUGGGCGCAAGCCUGAUGCAGCAACGCCGCGUGAGGGAUGACGGCCUUCGGGUUGUAAACCUCUUUUAGCAGGGAAGAAGCGAAAGUGACGGUACCUGCAGAAAAAGCGCCGGCUAACUACGUGCCAGCAGCCGCGGUAAUACGUAGGGCGCAAGCGUUAUCCGGAAUUAUUGGGCGUAAAGAGCUCGUAGGCGGUUUGUCGCGUCUGCUGUGAAAUCCGGAGGCUCAACCUCCGGCCUGCAGUGGGUACGGGCAGACUAGAGUGCGGUAGGGGAGAUUGGAAUUCCUGGUGUAGCGGUGGAAUGCGCAGAUAUCAGGAGGAACACCGAUGGCGAAGGCAGAUCUCUGGGCCGUAACUGACGCUGAGGAGCGAAAGGGUGGGGAGCAAACAGGCU